UUAGCCACAUCGCAACAGGGCGAGUGCAGGAGGCCAGUCAUGUUUUUCGAUAACGUGGUAAUUGCCGGAGUGCUGACGGUUGGCCUCAUGGUGGUGUUCCUCGGCGGUUUUGGAUUUUUUAUCUGGAAAGACUCACAUAAGAGGAAGAAACCUUAGGUCUUUUCAGAGAACGAGCACGCAAGGCAUUUUGGGCGACUUCGGUCGCCCUUUUUUUUG
rnacentral:sRNA from 1 species